GCUCCGGUGCGCAGGAGCAUGUCUGCGCACAAUAGCGCGAAUGUCUCGCGCCACAGGUAAUAGCUGGACUCAGGUGUUGUAACACGACACUGAACCAUGUGAUCAGCGAUGAGAAUUUAGGAAGAAGAAGAACUCAGCUCGAGCAUUCACUCAACACUCUAGUAAAUACCAACCGCACAAGACCACCAUUGAUAGCAGGGCAUCUUGAAGGACAAUGUAUUAUUAUUAUGAGCAGGACGCCGGAGUGUCGCGAUAGUUUCGGUUUAAACUUAAUUUCACCGGUAAGGUGAGGCGGAAGCGAGCUACGGUCAGAUCUAUUGGAUAUAUAGUCUACAUAUAAGCUAUUCGUCGGGGAACAUCGUGGAUUAUGAAGGUACACACAGCUCGCUAGAGACAGAUAGGACUGCUUUAAUUCUUUGAUCUCGGACAUGAUUUAUUGACCACCUCUGCUCCACCCUACCCGGAGCAUCAGCCCCUUCUGGUUGAGGGUAGGGGUGCAGAUUGACUCCAUCCCGGAGAUGAUACGGCAGGUUGGGCUAUUGGCAGGGAGUUUUCUGCUGCUGCUGCUAUUCAGGAAUGUUUCGGCCCAGGGGGAAACGACCACAGUGCCCAAUAGCACUACAACUCCCAGCCCAGUAAGUAGAAAUUCUCCUGAAGUGUAGUCAGGUGUUUAUUUCCCCUUAUUAGCCUGAAGCUCAUCGUCUGUCUAGAAAUGAAAAG